UACGAGAGGCCCAAACGUUAUUCGGAAUUACUGGGCUUAAAGAGUUCGUAGGCGGCAUUGCAAGUAGGGUGUGAAAGCCCUCGGCUCAACCGAGGAAUUGCGCUCUAAACUGCAGUGCUUGAGGAACUUAGAGGUGAGCAGAACAGAUGGUGGAGCGGUGAAAUGCGUUGAUAUCAUCUGGAAUACCGGAGGCGAAGGCGGCUCACUGGGAGUUUUCUGACGCUGAGGAACGGAAAGCCAGGGUAGCGAAACGG
rnacentral:rRNA from 1 species